GAACUUGCCCUUUAGACUGGGAUAACAAGAGGGAAACUUCUGAUAAUACUGGAUAAGUUAGUAUAUCGCAUGAUAUGCAAAUGAAAGCUACGGCACUAAAGGAGAGCUUUGCGUCCUAUUAGCUAGUUGGUAAGGUAAGAGCUUACCAAGGCGAUGAUAGGUAGCCGGCCUGAGAGGGUGGACGGCCACAAGGGGACUGAGAUACGGCCCUUACUCCUACGGGAGGCAGCAGAC
rnacentral:rRNA from 1 species